rnacentral:rRNA from 1 species
CUGAACAUUGAGCCUUGAUGUGUAGGAUAGGUGGGAGGCUUAGAAGUGUGGACGCCAGUCUGCAUGGAGCCGAACUUGAAAUACCACCCUUUAAUGUUUGAUGUUCUAACGUUGACCCGUGAUCCGGGUUGCGGACAGUGUCUGGUGGGUAGUUUGACUGGGGCGGUCUCCUCCUAAAGAGUAACGGAGGAGCACGAAGGUUGGCUAAUCCUGGUCGGACAUCAGGAGGUUAGUGCAAUGGCAUAAGCCAGCUUGACUGCGAGCGUGACGGCGCGAGCAGGUGCGAAAGCAGGUCAUAGUGAUCCGGUGGUUCUGAAUGGAAGGGCCAUCGCUCAACGGAUAAAAGGUACUCCGGGGAUAACAGGCUGAUACCGCCCAAGAGUUCAUAUCGACGGCGGUGUUUGGCACCUCGAUGUCGGCUCAUCACAUCCUGGGGCUGAAGUAGGUCCCAAGGGUAUGGCUGUUCGCCAUUUAAAGUGGUACGCGAGCUGGGUUUAGAACGUCGUGAGACAGUUCGGUCCCUA